GACCGCGUAGGAGGGUUCCAGACGCGCGAUCUCGAACAUCUCCAGGUAGGCGGGCCGGAGGGUCUGCCGCUGUGCGACGCCGCGCAUGGCCUC
rnacentral:tRNA from 1 species